rnacentral:precursor_RNA from 14 species
AAUGCCAAGCUAUGGUGUUCUGGUCCUGGCUGAGGUAGUAGUUUGUGCUGUUGGUCGGGUUGUGACACUGCCCGCUGUGGAGAUAACUGCGCAAGCUACUGCCUUGCUAGUGCUGGGAAUCUACUGCAGAUGGAGAC